AUACGAAGGGGGCAAGCGUUGUUCGGAAUAACUGGGCGUAAAGCGCACGUAGGCGGAAUGUUAAGUUAGAGGUGGAAUCCCAGGGCUCAACCCUGGAACGGCCUUUAAUACUGGCAAUCUAGAGACCGAGAGAGGUGAGUGGAAUUCCGAGUGUAGAGGUGAAAUUCGUAGAUAUUCGGAGGAACACCAGUGGCGAAGGCGGCUCACUGGCUCGGUACUGACGCUGAGGUGCGAAAGCGUGGGGAGCAAACAGGAUUAGAAACCCCUGUAGUCC
rnacentral:rRNA from 1 species